GGGGAAUUUUGCACAAUGGGCGCAAGCCUGAUGCAGCAACGCCGCGUGAGUGACGACGCCUUUCGAGGUGUAAAGCUCUGUCGAACGGGACGAAGACUUCGUUGUGAACAGCUUCGGAGGAUGACGGUACCGU
rnacentral:rRNA from 1 species